AAGAAACUCCCCACGUACCUGGGAGUGGCUGGAAACUAUAGGACCUGCCAGCAAUUUCAUCUGGAGUGCAGAAAAAGAACAAGUACACAAGGUCUGCUCAAAGAUCACUACUCUAUGACAUGACCAUCCUACUGCAAAGUACAACCCACUCCUUUCCUGUCCUCUGAACUUCCAUCUCCACUCUGAUUUUAUUUUUUUUCCCCAUACUGUUUUUCACCUUCUAACAUGCUAUACAAUUUACUUAUUUUUGUUUAUCUGUUGCUUAAUUUCCCGCCCCCUGCUAGAAUGUAAACUAAGCAUGGGUAUCUGCUCUGCCCAUUAGCAUUCCACUCUCCCUUCAAGUUCCAGUCAAGUCCCAGCCUUCUUUCCUGGCUCUGGUUUGCACUGAUUCUGCCUCCCCUGGUUACUCAUGGAAUAAAUUUUUUAUUUCACAUCUCAGUGUUUGACAGAAUUCCUUUUUGUAAUCUUCUAUUUCUUAUGUGCCUGGAGGUAAAAAAUAAUUUCACACUGGGCUAUUACUCCUAACUCGGUCAUAAGUUAAUGAUGACCUUGAAAAAUUACCCAACCAGUCUAGACCUCAUUCUCUCCAUUUUACAAUAAGGGGCUCAAUUAGAUGAUAUUCAAGUUCUCCUCAGGUUUUAUGUUCUAAGACAUGAUAAGUAGUUUGACAGCAGGGUCCAUGUCCAAUAAUAAUAAUGACAGCUCCCAUUCACAAGUUCCUGCUUCAGCUACAUUGUUUCCAAUCCUCUCAAUAAUCUUAUAAGGUAGGUACUAUUAUACCCAUUUUACAGAUUAGGAAACUAAUACUCAGAACUAUUAAAAUAAACUUACUUAAAUGACUGUUAGUGAGACAGUCACUAACAGUAGUGGCUGAUAGGCUGGAACUCUAUCUUAAGUCUGUCUAACUUCAAAGGCUGUGUCCAUUUCCCACUUCUAAAUGGCUUCUUUCCUUAUAUUUCUUUUAUAUUACUCUUGACCAUGAACGACAUA